ensembl:lncRNA
UACCUUACUCUUUUAGUUGUUAUAUAGAUCUACAGAAUAAGAAUUUGUAUAGUUUAUUAACCAUUCCUUUGUUGACAGGCAUUUAGGAUGUUUCCAGUUUUUUCACUACUAAAACCAAUGCUGUCAAUAACCAUCUUCCUAACUCCAUUUGUGCAUAUGUAAGACUAUCUCCACAAGACGGAUUCCUAGAAGAGGACAUGCUCGGCCAAAGAGUACCCACAUAAGAGAAGACAAUAAUAGCCUAUUUCCAAUGCAUUUAUGUAAGAUUUUGAAAAAAAUCUUUAUUCUUUGGCAAAGAUCUGAAUCUAGUUGAAAUUCUAAAUCCAGGCACCUAUCAAAAUCAUUCCCGAACUGCUUGUUAUUUUUUCAGAUUAUGCUCAGAAUCUACUCUGGAAGCAAAAUUUUGUUUGUGAAGCGAUAUGCCAAUUAUAUGCUUUUAGAUUUAGGUGUUGCGGCUCCAUUUUCUGACUUUACCAGAUAAAAUUAUCCAUGGACUUUCCAAAGUAAAGCAUGGACCUCAAAAGUACAUAAGACAAUUAGUUAGGUAGACACUUGCUUUUGGAUAAUAUAGAUUAUUUAGAGCUCUAUCUGAGUGACAAAAAAAUAUGGAUGAAAUUAAAGCCUUAUUUUGAGUAUCCAUUACUGGUUUAUUUCCGGCAUAGCUGUCAACAAUGCUUUUUUACAUUUUGUGUUUCUUAAAUGGUCUUCCAAGCACACUAAGCAUUAAAUACAUAGGCAAAUAUUAGCAAAAUCUAACAACUUCAUUUUUUUAAAACCUUCGCAUGUCCAGGGUGUCUUAAAAUGUGAAUUUUAUACAAUAGGUUAUUUAGUUUUUCAACAAGCUACCUCAGGGUUAGAAGUGAGUAAGCCGAAAGCCCUGACUGAGUUUUGGGAUUGAAGCUGAUGGGAAUAUUCUCCAGAACCUAGCUUAAAUGGAAUGCAUCCCCCUUCUGUUGGUCAGUGGCCUUUGUAAUGUGGAUGUGGAAAAGAGAGGGUUGGGCAUCCGGGCUGUGCAGGUGGAAACAAUUAAGAUUCAAAAGCGAUUUUGAAAACGGAUUUGCUUUUCUCUUUAUUCUCCACAUAAAAAGUAGUGCUAGGUUCCUAAAAUCUUUCACCCACUCACUAAAUAAAUGCAUUAGUAGAACAUUUGAGGUUUUAUUGCUUAUGAUUUAGAAUCUAUCUUAUAUAACAUAUGGAAUAUGUAUAUACAUACAUCUAUAAACACACAUAUAUGGUCAAAUCUGUGUUUCACAUCAAACAUCUACUGUAUGUUUCACUAGGGAGACAAGACCCAUGUGUUUUGCAGAAGCUUUUAAAGCUGUUUCAUUUAUUUUAUUAGCCUUUAAUGAAUGUAAUUAGAACCCAAGUAAUUAAAUGCAAUUGUGCUCAGUAUGUUCCUGUUGUAAAUUGCCCUAAACAAUGUGCAUCGUGUGAACAAAUUUGUGGGAUUAAUCGAGGAUAGAUAAUGUUUUUGGAUAGUAUUUCACACUAAACGGCCGCAGAGAGAAACAAAGAAGCUGGCGCAGUGUCAUUAAUCUUAGUCAACUGGCAGCUCUGGUGUAAUUUGCAUGACUUAGACAGUGACACAGGAUGAGGCUUGCUUGGGAUGGGUGUUAGAUCACUAUGAUACGUAUGUAUUUAUUCCCCUUUAGUCUCCUGAUUUAUAAGCAGAAAGAAGUUUGUAUGUGGAAACGGAUAAAAACAACAGUGUUAAUGGAAGGAGUUAUAGAUUACCAAAUUAUUACUGGCAAUAUGCAUGUUCCUUUGUUUUCAUAUUGAGCAUUUCUGUUUUAUGGAUGUUAAAAAGACAUUGUGAAUCCCUGUCAGGAUAGGAAAAAAAAAAAAAAA